GAUGAACGCUAGCGGCAGGCUUAACACAUGCAAGUCGAGGGGUAUAGUAGCAAUACUAGAGACCGGCGCACGGGUGCGUAACGCGUAUGCAAUCUACCUUAUACAGGGGGAUAGCCCAGAGAAAUUUGGAUUAAUACCCCAUAGUGUUAUUUGAUGGCAUCAUUAUAUAACUAAAGUUCCAACGGUAUAAGAUGAGCAUGCGUCCUAUUAGCUAGAUGGUAAGGUAACGGCUUACCAUGGCUACGAUAGGUAGGGGUCCUGAGAGGGAGAUCCCCCACACUGGUACUGAGACACGGACCAGACUCCUGCGGGAGGCAGCAGUGAGGAAUAUUGGACAAUGGGCGCAAGCCUGAUCCAGCCAUGCCGCGUGCAGGAAGACGGUCCUAUGGAUUGUAAACUGCUUUUGUACGGGAAGAAACACUCCCUCGUGAGGGAGCUUGACGGUACCGUAAGAAUAAGGAUCGGCUAACUCCGUGCCAGCAGCCGCAGUAAAAC
rnacentral:rRNA from 1 species